CUUUGCUGUUGGUGGGGGCAGGGAGCAUGGUACAGGGGUGACUGAGUUCCUGCUUUGUUAGUUCCCACUGAAACUGAUUGACAAAAAGGGCCUGGCACCUCUCUCUUCUCUCUCUUUCUCUCUCUCACCAUGUGAUCUAUGCAUGCCUGUUCCCGUCUGCUUGCACUAAGAAUGGAAACAGCCUAAGUUCCUCACCAGAAGCAGAGGCUGGCACCAUGUUUGUUAUGCAGCCUGCAGAACCGCUGGGGACAGCUCUCUGAAAAUAGGAAUAAAUAGUGGCUCCUCGAUAAACACCUUCUUGCCUACAGCAUGUGUGACUGCAAACACAUUCCCACUUCAACUAAUCCAAGACGAGAAGGAUGACAAAAUAAGAGAAAUCAUGGGAAAAACUGCCCAUUUCUGUUUUGUCCACUUUGCUUUGGGAAGUGAGAGCUAUAGUCAUUAUCACCACAUCCCCUGGCAUCCAAUUCCACAUUCUACCUCAGAAGUUAUUUGGAGGAAUCCAAGGACUUAGAUAUUUUACCAAUGUCUCUGGUGAUUUUUAUAUCGGUGGCCCAUGGGUGUUGACCUAUGAAACUGCUCUGCAGCAGAUAUUGAGAAAUAGGAGUUCAGGACAAUGAUCUCUGACCUUGCCACUAAGAGUAAAAAAAUGUGCUGAACACCUUUACUGGGAUACUAGUCACUGAUUAAUAAUUCAAUUCCAGCUUUCCUGGAAGCCAGAAGUCAAAAUAUACUUGGGAUUUCUAUAAAUAUUUUUUAAUUAUGACCAUCGAACUCCAAGUACUUCAGAUUUGGAACUCGGACUGCUUUCCUUGCUCCUCAGCCUGCAGAUGGCCUAUUGUGGGACCUUGUGAUUAUGUAGUGAGACGAGCAUGAGUGGAGCAGGAGACGGCUGUCCCCCACCCACAAGGAAUAUCAGAUGAUGGUUCAGCGAUCAUCACAUUGCCUCUCUGAAAGUGAUAAAUUGGCAGCUGGCACCAGGGAGAGGCUAUUUCCUGAUGGCCCACACCUGUUGCACUAAGAUGUUAAUCGAAUGCAGAUUCCAGGGAGAAACAACUUCCUGGGCAUGUGCGUAAGAGACAAAAUGGCAGGUAUGACCUUCUGGGGACACUCCACCAGAAAAGGGAAGAAAACCUCAGAUGGGCAUGCAUAUAACUUCCUAAACACACUGCUCACACUCUCCUCCCAAGGGUAAGGAGGGCACUGCACAUGCAGGCAGCCCAUCCUAAGGGAAGCAUCCUGGGAAAGGGGUCAGUCUAUAUGGUUCUGGGAUCAAGAUUAAACACCACAUUAGACCUUCAAGUUGCCCACUUGGGUCUCUUCUAUGUGUAUUUUUCUUUCCUUUCUUUUCUGCUCUAAAGCUUUUUUAAAUAAACAUACACAUCCCUCCUCUGAAACUUGCCUUGGUCUCUUUUUCUGCCAUAUGCAACUCAGUCAAAUUAUUUCUUCUGAGGAGGAAAAAAUUGAGGUAGCUGCAUUCCCAUACAGAUUCACCAUCGGUAACUCAGAUACCUUCUACUGGCCAUAUGUUUGGUGUUCUAUUCAAGAAAUAAUUGCUAAAGCCAAUGUCUUAAAGUGUUUUUCUUAUGUUUUUCUUCUAAGAGUUUUACAGUUUCAGGUCUUACACUUAAGUAUUUAAUUAAUUUGAGUUGAUUUUAUGCAUGGUGUAGGAUGUGUGUAAUAUUCAGUUUUUCUAACACUAUUUGUUGAAGAGACUAUUCUUUUUCCACUGUGUAUCCUUAGAAGCAUUGCUGAAGUGUUGUUG
rnacentral:lncRNA from 10 species